CCUACGGGUGGCAGCAGUGGGGAAUAUUGCACAAUGGGGGGAACCCUGAUGCAGCGACGCCGCGUGAGUGAAGAAGUAUUUCGGUAUGUAAAGCUCUGUCAGCAGGAAAAAAGAAAGCGGUAACUUGACAAAGAACCCCCGGCUAAAUACGUGCAAGCAGCAGCGGGAAAACGGAGGGGGCAAGCGUUAUCCGGAUUAAUUGGGUGUAAAGGGAGGGUAGACGGCAGGGCAAGUCUGGAGUGAAAGGCAGGGGCCCAACCCCUGGACUGCUCUGGAAACUGUCCGGCUGGAGUGCAGGAGAGGUAAGUGGAAUUCCUAGUGUAGCGGUGAAAUGCGUAGAUAUUAGGAGGAACACCAGGGGCGAAGGCGGCUUACUGGACUGUAACUGACGUUGAGGCUCGAAAGCGUGGGGAGCAAACAGGAUUAGAUACCCCAGUAGUC
rnacentral:rRNA from 1 species